UACGGAGGGUGCGAGCGUUGUUCGGAAUCACUGGGCGUAAAGCGCGUGUAGGCGGCCUCUUAAGUCUGAUGUGAAAGCCCGGGGCUUACCCCCGGAAGUGCAUUGGAAACUGGGAGGCUGGAGUACCGGAGAGGAAGGUGGAAUUCCUGGUGUAGCGGUGAAAUGCGUAGAUAUCAGGAGGAACACCGGUGGCGAAGGCGGCUACCUGGACAGAAACUGACGCUGAGGCGCGAAAGCUAGGGGAGCAAACAGG
rnacentral:rRNA from 1 species